GCUGGGUAUGGUGGCGCAUGCCUGUAAUCCCAGCUACUCGGGAGGCUGAGGCAGGAGAAUUGCCUGAACCCGGGAGAUGGAGGUUGCGGUGAGCCGAGAUCGCGCCAUUGCACUCCAGCCUGUCUAACAAGCAAAACUCCGUCUCACCAAAAAAAAAAAAAAAAAAAAAAAAAAACAAGCGGAUGCUCUGGGUUCUUUCUUUCUUUUUUGAGACGGAGUUUUGCUCUUGUUACCCAGGCUGGAGUGCAAUGGUGCAAUCUCGGCUCACCACAACCUCUGCCUGCCGGGUUCAGGCAAUUCUUCUGCCUCA
rnacentral:SRP_RNA from 1 species